UAAUACGGAGGGUGCUAGCGUUGUUCGGAAUUACUGGGCGUAAAGAACGUGUAGGUGGCUCGCUAAGUUGAGAGUGAAAUCCCAGGGCUUAACUCUGGAACUGCUCUCAAAACUGGCUUGCUAGAGAUAGGUAGGGGAUAGUGGAAUUCCUAGUGUAGAGGUGAAAUUCGUAGAUAUUAGGAGGAACACCAGAGGCGAAAGCGACUAUCUGGGCCUAUUCUGACACUAAGACGUGAAAGCGUGGGGAGCAAACAGGAUUAGAUACCCUGGUAGUCCACGCCGUAAACGAUGAGUGCUAGUUAUCGGGACUUUAAGUUUCGGUGACGCAGCUAACGCAUUAAGCACUCCGCCUGGGGAGUACGGUCGCAAGAUUAAAACUUAAAGGAAUUGACGG
rnacentral:rRNA from 1 species